AUGCCCCCAGGCACGUCAGGAGCAAGCGGCGCACGCAGCGACCUCCCUCGAACUGGUAGCAGCGACCGUGGCCAGCACGGCGGACGGCGGCGGACUACAGCCGGUGCCCUGCACGGCGCGACGGCCAGCAAUCGGCGAUGCGACGCAACCUUGGACACAUGGCGUGGCCUCGCCCGUCCCUCCCCUUUUUCCUGGACGCUAACGGCGGUGCCCGCAUCUGCGGUCUUCCUCGGCACGGCCGUCUAUGGCGGCAGCGCUCUCACAGCGCAGGGACGCCCGCUACCAACCAUGGUCGUCGGCCUGGUUCUGCUCGGCGGGAAGGUGGCCUCCCGCAACAGCCAGAGGCGCGCGGCGACUCCCGGCGUCGGUGGUCCUCGGCCCUAG
rnacentral:rRNA from 1 species